CAUUUUAAAGUAUUUUUUUCUAAGAUGUGAUGUAGUUCAUCAAAGUAAUGCAGUGCAUUUAUUCACUUGUGUUGUUUCCUCCUGGAUAACGCGUUUAUCAAAAGUUAAUUGAUUGACACAGCGGGAUGCCGUGGUCAGCGCUGAUGAAACCGCUCCUUGCUGCAAACUAUUUCCACGUGAUCUAUAUAGGUCAACUUAUCAAGAUUUUGAAAAACCGGGCAGCAUUCUUGAGAGACAAAGAACAGGAUUUAGGGAAUAUUUUACAUCACCGUAAGUGGCUGUUUGCAAAGACUAAAUAUUACAUGUUAUGAGAGGAAUUGGACAGAAUGAAGUUUGCUACAUACCAUCUUUGAGGGAUUUACCGGGGUAUUAAUUUUAAAGA